rnacentral:rRNA from 1 species
UACGUAGGGGGCAAGCGUUAUCCGGAUUUACUGGGCGUAAAGCGCGUUAAGGCGGUUGGCAAAGUUGGUUGUGAAAUCUCAGGGCUCAACCCUGAAAUUGCGACCAAUACUGGUCGACUAGAGUGCAAGAGAGGAAGGUGGAAUUCCCGGUGUAGUAGUGAAAUGCGUAGAUAUCGGGAGGAACACCAGUGGCGAAGGCGGCCUUCUGGCUUGCAACUGACGCUGCAGCGCGAAAGCGUGGGGAGCGAACCGG